CGGGGUGAGUAACGCGUGGAUAACCUGCCUUACACUGGGGGAUAACACUUAGAAAUAGGUGCUAAUACCGCAUAAGCGCACAGCUUCGCAUGAAGCAGUGUGAAAAACUCCGGUGGUGUAAGAUGGAUCCGCGUCUGAUUAGCUAGUUGGCGGGGUAGAAGCCCACCAAGGCGACGAUCAGUAGCCGGCCUGAGAGGGUGAACGGCCACAUUGGGACUGAGACACGGCCCAAACUCCUACGGGAGGCAGCAG
rnacentral:rRNA from 1 species